GAUCUGAGAGCCUAAAAGAUCCCUUUUUGAUUUGAAUCCAAGAACUUCUCCAGAUUUUUAAAAAUCGAGUUCUCCAAAGAAGAGGCUGUGAUGUCGUGCACCAGAGAGACAGUCGAGAGCAGCUAGGACAGGCUUUCCGUUGGCAUAAUGGAAACCAUGUGUCCUGUACCAUUAUGGAUUUCUAAUGCUCCGUUGAGAAAAUCAGAAAGCAAUGAGAAUUAAAAAAAAAAAAAAAAAAAGCAUGUUGUACUCAGCCCAAAAGAGAUUAGAAGAGUCCAGAAUGACAUAAGGGCAGAGCACAGGACAUAGGUGACUGAAUGAGUCUUAACAAAGAAGCCAGGUCCAGGAAGAAUCAGAUGGUGGACACAGAAGAGCUUUUCAUCAAACAACAGUGAAUGGAAGUCCUAGAUUUCAGUGUAAUGUCCAAGAAUUUGCAUCAUCUGUCACCUGGCAGCUGGCAUUCCACCCCUCCCUCCAGGGGGCCUCCUUGACUACACACACAGGCUGCUUACCUGGAAGAGUCUCAUCUUUCUUACUCUUUGGCCUACAAAUCUUUGUUCAGGAGGUUCUAGUCUCUCAUUUUUCAGGUGACUCUUGUCUAUCUGUGGAAAAACUUCAUAGUUGUUUUCUUAUUAAGCCUUGGGUUUUAAUGUUAUUUCUUCAGCGUUAUAUUAUUCUUUAUUGCUAUGUCAUGAAAAAUGGUUUUAACUUUGAAUCACUGCUCUAUUUCCAUUAGCAAAUGCCUUCCUUCUUCAAGUCCUAUUAGAAACAGAGCAACACUGAAAAAGACACCAGGAUUAUUUUGCCCCUUUGCAUACCUUGUUAACUGCUCAAAUAGACUUGAAACCUUUUGUCCACCAAAUCCCAUGGCCUUGGGAAAAAGCAGUGUGUAUGGCUCUUUCUAGUCUUUUAUCUACAUUUUAAAACUAGAUUGGUAGGGGCAAGAUGGCUGAAUAUGAACAGCUCUGGUCUGCAGCUCCCAGCGAGACCAACGCAGAAGGCGGGUGAUUUCUGCAUUUCCAACUGAGGUACCCGGUUCAUCUCACAGGGACUGGUUAGAGAGUAGGUGCAGCCCAUGGAGGGCGAGCAGAAGCAGGGUGGGGCAUCACCUCACCUGGGAAGUGCAAGGGGUCAGGGAAAUCCCUCCCCUGGCCAAGGGAAGCCAUGAGGGACUGCGCCUUGAGGGACUGUGCUAUCCUGCCCAGAUACUACGCUUUUCCCAAGGUCUUUGCAACCCACAGACCAGGAGAUUCCCUCAGGUGCCUACACCACAAGGGCCCUGGAUUUCAAGCACAAAACUGGGCAACUGUUUGGGCAGACACCGAGUUAGUUGCAGGAAUAUUUUUUUGUAUUCCAGUGGUGCCUGGAACGCCAGCAAGAUAGAAACAUUCACUCCCCUGGAAAGGGGGCUGAAGCCAGGGAGCCAAGCGGUCUUGCUCAGUGGAUACCAACCCCAUGGAGCCCAGCAAGCUAAGAUCCACUGGCUUGAAAUUCUCGCUGCCAGCACAGCAGUCUAAAGUUGACCUGGGAUGCUUGAGCUUGGUGGGGGCAGGGGCGUCCGCCAUUACUGAGGCUUAAGUAUGAGGGUUUUCCACUCACAGUGUAAACAAAGCCACCAGGAAGUUAGGACCAGGUGGAGUCCACCACAGUGCUGCAAAGCUGCUGUAGCCAGACUGCCUCUCUAGAUUCCUCCUCUCUGGGCAGGGUGUCUCUGAAAGGCAACAGACCCAGUCAGAGGAAUGUGGAUAAAACUCCCAUCUCCUUGGGACAGAGCACCAGGGGGAAGGGGCGGCUGUGGGCGCAGCUUCAGCAGACUUAAAUGUUCCUGACUGCUGGCUCUGAAGAGAGCAUCACAGAUCUCCCAGCACAGCGCUCGAGCUCUGAUAAGGUACAGACUGCCUCCUCAAGUUGGUCCCUGACCCGCAUGCCUCCUGACUGGGAGACAACUCCUGGAAGGGGUUGACAGACACUUCAUAUAGGAGAGCUCCAGCUGGCAUUUGGCAGGUGCCCCUCUGGGAUGAAGCUUCUAGAGGAAGGAGCAGGCAGCAAUAUUUGCUGUUCUGCAGCUUCCAGUGGUGAUACCCAGGCAAACGGGGUCAGGAGUGGACCCCCAGCAAACUCCAGCAGAACUGCAGAAGAGGGGCCUGACUGUUAGAAGGAAAACUAACAAACAGAAAGCAAUAGUAUCAACAUCAACAAAAAGGAUGACCAUGCAAAAACUCCAUCCGAAGGUAACCAACAGCAAAGGACAAAGGUAGAUAAAUCCACGAAGAUGAGAAAUAAGCAGCGCAAAAAGGCUGAAAAUCCCAAAAACCAGUGCCUCUUCCCCUCCAAAGGAUCAAAACUCCUCACCAGCAAGGGAACAAAACUGGACGGAAAAUGAAUUUGACAAAUGGACAGAAGUAGUCUUCAGAAGGUGGGUAAUAACAAAUUCCACCGAGUUAAAGGAGCAUGUUCUAACCCAAUGCAAGGAAGCUAAGAACCUUGAUAAAAGGCUAGAGGAAUUGCUAACUAGAAUAACCAGUUUAGAGAAGAACAUAAAUGACCUGAUGGACCUGAAAAACACAGCAUGAGAACUUCAUGAAGCAUACACAAGUAUCAAUAGCUGAACUGAUCAGGUGGAAGAAAGGAUAUCAGAGAUUGAAGAUCAAUUUAAUAAAUAAAGCAUGAAGACAAGGAUAGAGAAAAAA